AUUCCUUUCCGCUGAACUGGGCGCCCGGGCCCGCGCCGCGCCCUGCACGCCUCGCGCCCGGCGAUCGGGCCCAGGGCGGGGGAGCAGGGAGGCGGCCCCAGCCGGUCGCCGGCGCCCCCAGGCGCUGCUUCCCAGGAGCUCGGCUCCCCGGGAUGGAAGGGACUGAUACCCAGUUAAUGGGCGUGGAGCCUGAGCCCCUGAGGGUCGUCGCUAACGGGGGUCGCUCAGCAGGGCCGGCCUCCGCUGCCUGCCCGGGGUGUCUAAUCACCUCUCCGAUCCUUUGCCCGGAUCUGAGCUUCGUCAUUCACGCCCCUCCUCCCUGGCGACUUUGGGCCUGGUGACAGUCCCCCGACCCUCGCAGAGCCAGGGGCACAGUAGGCGCCUUAGCCACUGGCAGAAUUUCACCGGCGCUCUGCCCGACGCCCCCAGCCCCAGGGCCGGGCGUGGGUGGAAGUGUCUGGAAGGGUGGGUUCACCAGGGCUGGGCACGUCAGCGGCCCCGUACAGAGAAUCCGGUGCCUGGGGUCUCUGGAGGGGGUACUCAGAGUAUCCGAGGAGGAGACUCCUGGAUGCUAACAGAGCCCCCAGUUAGGAGCAGUCCGCGAGACAGUUGGUAACAGUGCUGGCCUUGCCCGGGCGCCGGAAGGUUCCGUGAGGCCCAGCAAGUCCUGACUUGGCACAGGGCCCAGCACACGGUAAGCGCUCGGUACUUGGUCACUGUUGCUUGAUUUUACCAUUUCGGAGGGGCUCAUCUACGCCUAGCAAAGCCCCCCUCCCGGUGACCCAAGGGGAGCUCCAGAAUGUUGAGCGGCUGAGCGGCCUGGCUCCUCCUCUCGACCCCAUCGAGCCAAGUGUCGAAAUCAUCCCAGACGAAGCUGCUGAGCAGAAAUUUCCAGUCUCCCUGGCAAAGCUGGGAAGAUUUUGGGUGCGGCUCAGAGACGCAGCUGGGUCGGCUCUGUGGGGCCAGGGCUGGGGAGGGACCCCAAGAUGUUCUAUGAGACCCAAGCAGCACCCCCAACUUGGGUUGGGGGCGUUGGGGGGUGGAGCCUGGCCUCCUGCUGAGCCCCAGAGCUGAUACAGCACAGGUAAAAGCCCAUUGUUCUCAGUGGUCCACAGAGGCUCAGGGCAGGAGCAAGAUCAGGGUUCGGGUGCUGGCGCCACCCCUCGUUUAGCCCCUACCUGGGAUCUGAGGGAGCACCCAUCCUUGGAAUGCAGGAUAAUAGGGUUGCUGUGAGGAUGGAAGGAGACUGUGCCCAUGAACACUUGACACAGCUCCCUGCCCUGGGGAAAGCACCCAGGAAAUGCGGGCUGUUUGUCUUAGUGAUGUUCCACUUAAUAGCACUUGCGGUGGCUCCCUGGCCCCCGAGGAGCCCACCUUGCCAGUUCUUGGCCACAAGAGUACGAGCCCCUCUGUCAGGACGGUGGGUCUCAUUGAGGCCAUCCUUAUCCUGAGCAACCUAAAGAACUCACAUGGAACUUAGCAAACAGGCAGACCCUUGCCUUGUUCUCAGGGCUGUGUGAUCCCGGGUGAGCAACUCGGCCUCUCUGAACCUGGUUCUCCUCUGCAAAACAGAGAUGAUGGCCUGGGACCCUCUCCCACUACAGGGAAGUAGCAUUGGAGGGGGAAGAGACAGGGGGAGCGUCCCAGCACUGCCCAAAAUUGGACAGGUGACUUUGGACAAGUCUGAAUGAGACUGAAUAAGACAAAACGGAGUAACAUUAGAGCUUGCUGGCUACUCUCUGCCCUGGGCCGGUGCUAGAUGUUUUACAUGCACUGUUAAUCACUGUUACUCGUGGAGGGAGAUUUUAUUAUUAACUUUCUUUUCCAGAUGAGGUAACUGAGGCUCAGAGAGGUUGAUUCACUUUCUCAAGGACACACAGCUAGGAAAUGAUAGAGUCACGAUUCAAACCAUCAUUUGUUGGCUUAGAGCCUGAAUCCCUAAAGAAAAAGCAGGCAGGGUGUAGUGGCUCACGCCUGUAAUCCCAGCAGUUUGGUAGGCUGAGGCUGGAGGCUCACUUGAGCCCAGGAGUUUGAGACCAGCCUGGACAACGUGGCGAAACCUCAUCUCUACAAAAAUACAAAAAUUAGCCCGGCCUGAUGGAGCGCGCCUGUAGUCCCAGCUACUCAGGAGGCUGAGGUGGGAGGAUCACCUGAGCCUGGGGAGGUCAAGGCUGCAGUGAACCGUGAUCGCGCCCCUGCACUCCAUACAGCCUGGACAGCAGGAUGAGACUCCGCCAAAAAAAAAAAAAAAAAAAAAAAAAGAGAGAGAGAGAGAGGAAGAAAAAAGGAAAGAAAGA
rnacentral:lncRNA from 10 species